GAGGAAUAUUGGUCAAUGGGCGAGAGCCUGAACCAGCCAAGUAGCGUGCAGGAUGACGGCCCUAUGGGUUGUAAACUGCUUUUGUAUGGGGAUAAAGUCAAUCACGUGUGAUUGUUUGCAGGUACCAUACGAAUAAGGACCGGCUAAUUCCGUGCCAGCAGCCGCGGUAAUACGGAAGGUCCGGGCGUUAUCCGGAUUUAUUGGGUUUAAAGGGAGCGUAGGCUGGAGAUUAAGUGUGUUGUGAAAUGUAGACGCUCAACGUCCGACUUGCAGCGCAUACUGGUUUCCUUGAGUACGCACAACGUUGGCGGAAUUCGUCGUGUAGCGGUGAAAUGCUUAGAUAUGACGAAGAACUCCGAUUGCGAAGGCAGCUGACGGGAGCGCAACUGACGCUGAAGCUCGAAGGUGCGGGUAUCGAACAGGAUUAGAUACCCUGGUAGUCCGCACAGUAAACGAUGGAUGCCCGCUGUUGGUACUUGGUAUCAGCGGCUAAGCGAAAGCAUUAAGCAUCCCACCUGGGGAGUACGCCGGCAACGGUG
rnacentral:rRNA from 1 species